rnacentral:lncRNA from 1 species
CCGCCCUCGGUACCGCGAGUCCGCCCCGUCGCCAUGGCCGGGCUUGUGGUCAGUGGAACUCAAGUGUCCUACAUAGGCCAGGACUGCAGAGAGAUUCCAGAGCACCUCGGCAGGGACUAUGGACACUUUGCAAAGAGGCUCGACCUGAGCUUUAACCUUCUGAGGUAUGUAACCUUCACAAGACGCAGGCCAGGCCUGGGAGGCCCAGUCCACCCAGUAAUGGCCUGCAGAUCAAAGUCAAACGUCCCAGUGGCAUCGCACCCCUAAGGCCUUGACGCUGCUGCACGUGAAUCUCCGGCUCCCCUCUUGGUGCCCUUGAAGACGCAUCAAGCAUAAGCAUCCUGUCUUACGUGUGUCCCUAUGAGAGGGCCGUUGGUGUCCUCUUGUUCUUUUCUCACUGAUGCCCUUGCGGACAAGUGGCAAUACUUUUGGGGAAGGAGUGAGAUAAAGCCAGCUGGUGUCUUGGGGGUGUUAGGAAUGCUUUCCUGGGUAACCCCAUCUCCCAGGUAGCAUGCGUGCGUCUUCUCUCUCUCUUUUUUUUUUUCUUUGCCUUUUAAUGAAUUGGAACCUUAAAUAUUUGUGAUGCUGAUUUCUCCCAGAUGGUAUUUCAGAGUAAUUGAAACACUGCUGCCAUGGGGGUGGAUGGGAGGGAAACUCAAACAACUGUUCCAGUCUUGGCAGAAGGUAAGGGUGCUGGUCUGUAUUCUCCCAGUGGAGACAACGGUUAUUUUCUUCCUAAAAGGUUUUGAAUUGCAACGGGCUUGGGGGCCUGGCCGAGGGAAGGAGGAGGUGCCCGGAAAGCCCGUGUCAGUGGGAUAAAUGGACAGGGAUCUGGGGGGUGGCUUGUCCUAACCGGUACCUCUACACAGAGCUUGGCCCUAAGUGUCCCUCUGAAAGCCGCCUGUCCUCUGAAUGGAGCCAUUGGUCUCGAGUGGAAGGAGAGAUGAGGAGCUGGAAUCCCACCCUAGGGCUCUGAUGCUUUGCUUCUUCCAUCUUGUGGAGUCUCCACUCUGAGUCGGGACCCUCUGGAAUGAGGAGGAUGGGACAAAACUCGGUGCUUGAAGGCACCAGAGGGUAGAGGGGACUGUGAGUUGAAGCUGAGCCGGCAGAGUUUCUUGGUGGUGCUCAGGCGCAAGGCCAGGCUAGGAUGCAUCGUCCCGACAGAAGGGGCCUCCAGGGGCUUGCGUGGGAAGAGUAUGGGCAAUGCACGCGUUCUCUUCCUGACUCCCAAGGGUUUGUAUGCUUCUGGGGAGACGGGGAAACAGAAAAGUCACCAAGAAAUGGAGUGAUGAGAGGAUGCCAAACAAACGCUGCCUCUAAAGAAAUUAAGGGUGGUGUUGGGUCCUUAUGCAAGGAGGGGACAGAAUAUACAGCCUCGAUAGGACAGUGCCUGAGUCACGUGUGCUGCUCAAAGAGCUCCCCCGUGCAGACUCAGAUAAAGUGUUUCUGUGGGCACGGAGAGGCAUUCUUCCCAUGUGACUGGCCUCUGGGGACCUGGGGCUUUGUGGCUCAGGCAGUGGCUGCUUUGCUGCCGGGAGCCCGGAUGUGGUUUUGAGAAGGCUGGCCCUGUGAAGGGGUGUCAGCAGUCAUAGGUCAUGGGACUGGGCUUGUUGGGUCUGAGGAAACGGCCGUCUUUGUUGCUCUCUGGGUCCUGCCUCCCUUGGGCAGAAAAGGGGCUGGGAUUCUAGGAGGCGUGUGGGUGUGGGAUGACAGUUCAGUGGUGAGAAGGGGCUCUUGGCUCUUCUGAGGGGCUGGAUCUAUUGGGAAAUGGCAGGUCUUGGAGCCCGGAAAUUUUUGGUAAAGUGGAGAUUCAGAGGAGGAGAAGUUAACAUUUUUCUUUUUCUGUGUUAAGUUGGAGGAGUGACCGCUUCUGGCCAGGAAGGAACCUAUUCUUAGCCAUGUUGGGUCAGUGUGUGACCUGCAUCCUGGGCUGGGGCAGGAGUGAUCCGUGGAGCCACGAGUUCUGAUGGGAGGGUUUAUAUUAGGACUUGGUUAAACUGGACAGAGUUCCAGACCAGAAGAGAGAAACACAGUGCUGGUUUGACAUGGUUAUGUUGGGACUGGCUUCUCUUAGAUGGUCUUAUUUACCUAACCCCGGGGGGCGAGGGGAGGUGGCACUAUUUCUCUCUGGUGUCAGAGGAAGAUGGAAGCUUACUCAGGCACUGGUCUCUGUCUUUGCCUUCAGGUGGAAUAAAAUUCAAAGAUCAUUUAGAUCCUUAACUCAUUUCUCUUAAAAAAAAAAAAAAAAAAAAAGGGAGGUAAGAGAAGGAAAGAGACAGAAGAUCAUAAACUUGCCUUCCAAAUGAAAUGUGACAGAUGACCUGAGCCCACCAGGCUGUGGGGAUCAUCAGAUCUAAAUGAAAUACUGUGGAUCUCCACCUAACCUUCAGUAGAAAGUUUCUUCCCAGCCCUUCCUCACUAUUUUUAUGGAAUUUGGAGGAACCUAUCUCCCUGCUCUGCUCUGGGAUUUCCCAUAGCUCCCUGUCCUAACUCUGUCUGUGCUCUGUCUGCUGUUCUCCCUCUGGGCACUGGGUCUGGCCCCACUCAGGGCGCUCCCUUCAUGUCUCUGAAGCCCAGCACAACAUGACUUUGUAUUACAGACGUUGACUGCCAGUUCACAGUGUGCUGGGGGAGGAGGGUGUGAUGACUGCAUGCAGCAGCAGAUGCUGGGAUAGCAUUGUUCCCAGAGAGCUUUUGGGUACUCCCUGGCCCUGGAGAAUUUCUCCCUGGCUGUGCUUCUUAUUAGGAUCAGGCCCUACAUGUGACCAGGUGCCCCUCUUUCCCAGCCUCUUUGUCUCCUUUCCAUGUUACCUUCUUUCCAAAGCUGUCUCAGAAACAGAAUUCUUCUCAUUUUGUUGUAUACAGAAAAAUUACCCCCCACCUUUUUCUAAAACAUCUCUAUGGGCUUCCUUUUCAUAUCCCAAGAGUUUUAUCAGGGUGUUGGCUUAAUGGAGCCAUACCCGAUGAUCGAAAGUGUGCCGGCCCCGUAAGUCAUAAAAUUGGUCUGUUUUUGCUUUAGACUACAAUUUGCUUUUAGGCAAGGAAUUCUUUUUCUUCCUUUCUUUCCUUUCUUUCCUUUCUUUCCUUUCCUUUCUUUCUGUCUUUUUAGAGCUGCACCCAUGGCAUAUGGAGGUUCCUAGGCUAGGGGUCAAGUCGGAGCUGUAGCCACUGGCCUACGCCUCAGCAAAGCCAGAUCUGAGCCGCUUCUGUGAUCUAUACCACAGCUCACGGCAACACUCAAUCCUUAUCCCACUGAGCAAGGCCAGGGACCAAACCUGCAUCCUCAUGGAUGCUAGUCAGAUCUGUUGCUGCUGAGCCACGAAGGAAACUCAAAGGAAUUCUUUUGGUUCAUUUUGAAACAGCUCAUACGUGCACGUGGCACACUCUUGAGAAGGAACAAACAUGCAGCCAGUGAAAAGAAAGUUGCCUUUACAUGUCUGUCCUUUAGCCUCCCAGUUCUUGUCUGCAUUGCUAACUAUGGAAACUUGGGUUUUUUACAUCCUCCCGAGAGAUUUUGUGUCUACACUAACGUGAGAAUUUCUCACAUGGCCAGAUUUGCAUUACUUCUUGUCAAGGUGUCUGUUACAAGGUAGGCAUCAGGCUUCAGUUAACCAUUCAAAAUAGGGCCCUCUUUCUUUAUUACUGUAAUAUUAAUUCAUAGCCAUUCACCAUCCUGAUUGUUCAUUUCAUUCAUGAAAGUGAUGUUUCUGCUGAUUCUCUCUAUGGCCAUCUGUUCAUGCUGGAGGGGAGGGUGGUGAUGGAUUUAUAAACUCUGAACUCUUAUUAUUAUUAUUUUUUUUGCCAUCACACCUCACGGUCUUCUCUCCUGCCUUAACAAUGGUGAAUCUGACUCUGCCUCAGUUGAGUGGUCGAGUAGUAAACUGGUU